GGACUCCACUGCUAUCGGGGUAAGGCUAAGCCAUGCAAGUCGAAGGUCCCCGGCUCCGGGGGCCUGGCGUACGGCUGAGUAACGCGUGGCCAACCUGCCCUGCGGAGGGGGAUAACCCCGGGAAACUGGGGAUAAACCCCCAUAGGUGACCGGGUCUGGAAGGACCGGUCGCCGAAAGUCCCGGUCGGGGACGCUCCGGCCGGGAGCCGCAGGAUGGGGCUGCGUCCUAUCAGGUAGUUGGUGGAGUAACGGCCCACCAAGCCUGUGACGGGUAGGGGCCCUGAGAGGGGGAGCCCCCAGAUGGACUCUGAGACAAGAGUCCAGGCCCUACGGGGCGCAGCAGGCGCGAAAACUCCGCAAUGGGCGAAAGCCCGACGGGGUUACCCCGAGUGCCACCCUCGUGGUGGCUUUUGCCCGCUCUAAAAAGGCGGGCGAAUAAGGGGAGGGCAAGUCGGGUGUCAGCCGCCGCGGUAAUACCCGCUCCCCGAGUGGUGGAGGCUAUUACUGGGCCUAAAGCGCCCGUAGCCGGCCCGGUGUGUCCCUCGUUAAAUCCACGGGCUUAACCCGUGGGCUGCGGGGGAUACUACCGGGCUUGGGGGUGGGAGAGGCGCCCGGUAUUCCCGGGGUAGGGGUAAAAUCCUCUGAUCCCGGGAGGACCAUCAGUGGCGAAGGCGGGGCGCCAGAGCACGCCCGACGGUGAGGGGCGAAAGCUGGGGGAGCAAACGGGAUUAGAUACCCCGGUAGUCCCAGCUGUAA
rnacentral:rRNA from 1 species